UACGGGGGGGGCAAGCGUUGUUCGGAAUUACUGGGCGUAAAGGGCUCGUAGGCGGCCAACUAAGUCAGACGUGAAAUCCCUCGGCUUAACCGGGGAACUGCGUCUGAUACUGGAUGGCUUGAAUCCGGGAGAGGGAUGCGGAAUUCCAGGUGUAGCGGUGAAAUGCGUAGAUAUCUGGAGGGACACCGGUGGCGAAGGCGGCAUCCUGGACCGGCAUUGACGCUGAGGAGCGAAAGCCAGGGGAGCAAACGGG
rnacentral:rRNA from 1 species